rnacentral:misc_RNA from 1 species
CACAACAGAGAGCAGAAACAAAGGCAAGGGCGUGUGUGCGUGUGUUCGACGAAGAAAGGGGGAGGGGUCGACGGACGGGACGGGCCAACGUGGCGAGAAAGCGGCACCUUGUGUCGCUGUGACGGCAACCCGCAUACACGCGCGGAUGCCUCACACACAAGCACACACACACACGCACACACACACACACACACACGCACACGCCGUUCUUGACGUGUGCAGCUUUCCCAUCCGACAUCGCGCCCCACCCCCUCCCACGCUAUGCGGCCUGCAACGUCUCUCACCACGGCCGGCUGCAACGCCGCUUCAUUAUCAUCCCCGGCAAGGUCGGGUGCAGAACCCCCGACGGCCACCGUCGCCACUUCUGUAGUUCCUAUGGAGGUGUGCGGACAGACAAGGGUGGCAGCGACGGCAUCGAAUGCAGUGCAAGUGGACGUCGUCGCAGCGGUGCACGCAGACAGCACGACUCCGCGUGCGCGUAGAGACGAAGGCAAGGAGAGCUGUAGCAACAGCCAUAUUAGCGACCAGUGCGCACAACCACCGUAUACACGUCGCAGCGGCGGCAGCAGCAGCGCUGAUGGUGAUGGCUCAGCCCUUGAAAAGCGCGCUGACGGAAAGGACGAUGUCGAAGAAGACGAGGAAGAUAUCGUGGUGGAUGAGCUGGACCUAUACUGCAGCACCCCGGCGCUCCUGUAUCAGAGCCCGGUGACCGACAUCACCUGGAGCGACGUCGCAGCCGAUCUUUACCGAUUCUCAGCAAAGGCAGCCGUAUCGACGGCGCCACCGGGUGGGCGAAGAGCCGUCGCCGCAUGGCCCUCAGCCUGUGCGUCUUUGUCCUCAGCAUCGUCGACGGCGUCUUGCCAACCUUGUGGACGGGACACCUCAGUCGAUGAGAGCCAUCAUCGAGACGAGGGCGAGCCGUCAGGUGAGCGGAGCGUUGUCAGUGAUGAGGAGGGCAGUGAAGCAGGUGACCGCCAUGUCGCCGGAGCGCCAUCGCACCCGCAAACAGCGGCCUCCGCGUGCCUACACGGCGCCGACGACGCUGAGCCGACUUCCAGUUCUGAGGGGUGUGACGCCGCGGCGCCAAUCGUAAGCAGCAGCCGUGACAACGAUGCAGGCAGCGGUCGCAGCGACGGCGUCGCCGGACAAGCACGCGCGUCUGUCGAGGCCAAGGCGAAGCGAUCGGAUAAGCGUGACGACUACGGAGGCAAUACUGACGCGGGUGUGUGCUCGCCGACACUGUCUCCGUCGCGGCCCGCCUCCGCGUGUGCGUCCUCACCAUCAUCCGCACGACGGCAAGGGUGGAGUGUUGAAAGUGACCACGGCAGAGGCGGUGGCGAGCAUGGCGCCGGCGAUCACGGGAGCUCAGGUGGAGUUGCAUCGAUGAGCCAAGGAGUGGCAGCAAAGUCCACUCCGACCGCCACCUUCGAUGCCCAGGCGCCGCCGGCGCCUCUACUGCGCUCGUCCGCGGCAGUCACAGCGGCAACGUCACCGCCAGCACGACAAGCCUUAGAGGCGGAGGAUGGUCCAUACAUGCCGCCGCUGAUGGAUGAGCUCGACGGUGAGCUCCUUCAGCUAAUCAAGGCGUACUACAUGCGCAAGCAGUCGGCAGCUGCAGCGGCCACCCCAUUGUAUCCGCCACCGCCGUCACACGCUGCGGCGUCGUCGUCGUCGACCUUCGCGUCGACUUGCUGCGCAUGCCACGCCUUCAAUCGCAUGAAAAGCAGGUGCAGCAGUGGGAGCGCGGACGGCAGCGGCGGCAGCACACUUGCGGAGACCGCGGCAGCGACCGAGAAGCGAGGAAGUGGUAGUGGCUCGGACGCACUGCAUGAUUCACGCCGGCCGCUCCUGUCCACUGAUGGCCGGCGUGCGCCGUCUGGUCUUCUGCGGGACCCCUUUACCGCUCCCCACGCCGCUGGGACAGCAGCGGCGCUUGGCAAGGCCAGUGAAAGAGGGCCGCAAGAGCUCAGGGGGCGCCAUCUCGGUGACUGUCCUUCCUCGUACGUGAUCGGCCCCUCUGACGACGCUGCUCGAGACUCAGCUGCCGCGGCUGGGCUGAGGCUCGGGGAGAACGUGCUCCACCGGCCUCCUUACAGGGGCAUGAGCCGCGUUCGUGUUCACGGUGACAGCACUUGCGUGGGCUUCGGUGCAGCAGCAGCGACGGUAACAGCGGCCAGCUUUUCCCCGCAGCAGCACACCUUCACAACAGCUGCCACAUUGUACAAUCCUAUGACGCUCGGCGAGGCCAGCAGGGGGCAGCACCGAGCCGCAGCGGCGAGUGGCGCCGCCACCCUCGCCGAGGGCGCGGCAACCUUGCACCACCAAACUCACAGCGGCACCAACAUCAGUGGAGGCGGCGGAGCUGGCGGUGCGCUCAGCGGCGGCAUCGCCAGCGGCCUCAGCGCUCUUUCCAGUCUGCCGUCCUACAGCUCCACCUCCUUUGUGCGCGCCUACGUCUCCGACAUGAGCCUCAGCCUCGAGCCCGCCAUCAUCGUGUCGGCGCUGACGGCGGCCUUCAACAUCAUUGUUGUGUACUUCCUUCAGCAGCACGUGCUUGACACCCGUGAUCACCUCGGCCUCUUCCUGAUCGGCAGCUACAUGAUCUUCGCCUCGUACUACAUGAUCUACUACUUCCUCGAGCGAUUCUCUGACUCGUUUCGCCGCAUCGCGUCGCAGGAUAAGAAGUUCUACAUCAUCGGCAACCUCAUCAAGGCGGGCAUCCUCAUCUCCAUCACGCCGUUCGCGUGCGUGCAUCUCGUCAAGAUCAUAGUCUUCGAGGAGUGGGAGAGCAACAUCCUGCGCAAUCUCGGCUGCAUCUACACGAUCCCCGACUUUAUAUCCAUGGUCAUUGUGCGGCGCAUGCGGUGGUCAACGUGGAUCCAUCACGCCUGCGUCGUGCUCUUCAACUACUUCAGCAUCAUGAACAACUACCAGCACGAGAACGUGUGCCGCUGCGUCGUCGUCUACGCGGCCUUCUCGUCCUUCGCCUACUGUGUGAAUGUGCUCUUGGCCUCCCGCUUCCUCGGCGUCUCCGUGAACGUGGCGCGGGUGCUGUCGUUCGUGGCGCUCGUCGUCUACGCCCUCUGCUGCGCAGUGAACUGGGCCUGGCAGGUGUACUACCUGCGCCGCCUCCUCAUCAGCGGCCACGAUCACUGGACCGUGUACGUGUACAUGCUUCUCAUCUCCCUCGUCAUGUGGGAUGAUAUUGUGCUGAACAGCUGGUUGCUGCACCAUGCGCGCAACAACGCCUACGUUGCCUCGCAGCACCUGCAGCAGCAGCAGCAGCAGCGCACCCGCCAGCAGCAGCAACAGUCGUCGCCGGCGUCAACGCGGAUGACUUCGGCGCGCGUGUCACAGCGUCCCAGCUCGCUGUACCGUAGCCAGGACACGCGCGCCGUCUACAUGGCACCGCCGCUGCCGCCGGCUGGGCUGCCCCCGCGUGCACCCUAACGCGUCAUCGUCUAUGCAUGAUCAGUGUGUGAGCCAAGCUGAGUGGUGGCGAUGGUGGGGGGAUCACAGGGGAGGUCGGCGCAGAAAGCGGUGCCCAGCUCUUGCCCUGCGUUCAUCAUUGUCACCCCUUCCCCGCCACUUCCGAUCUUUCACCGCCGCAGCCUGCCCGCCUGCCCCCCCCGCCUUCUGUCCCUCCUUGCCGCCUCUGUAUGUGCGUGCACGGGGCCCGCUGCUGCGUCCUUCAUGGGACGCUUGGUGCCACGUUGCGUCGCUCCGCUGUUUUUGUCCCUUCUCCCCCGCACACGCCCCCCCGUCCUUUUCGCACACCUGUGAGCGCCGGCACACCGGGCAGCCCCGCGCGUUGCCGCUGCUACUGCACACCAGACCGUCCAUCACGGGCACCGCCAGCGCGCGCCCCCGCGACCCCUCCUGCCUCUCGUCGGGCUCUCUCGAGUUUUAGCUUCAUCCGCUUUAUUUCGCUUUCAGCGGCCUGCCGCUUCUCGAUUCAACUCCUGUGUGUAUGUGUGUGUGUGUGUGUGUGUGUGUUCUCUGCGGACGACCACUUCUGGUCCCUCACAUGCGCUGCAGCAUGUCGCCGCCUCGCAUCCGCCAGGCGGCGUGCGUGCACGUGCCUUUGCCUUUUCAUGUCGUACGCGCCGGUGUGCCGAGCAACC